GUCUUAUUCUGGAUCUUGAGGUGGGCACGCCUUUAAUCUGGGUCACACCUUCUGCUGGAAGCCCAUGGAAGAACUUGGUAGGAGGAAACACACGCUCUUUGCCUGUUUGCCCUCGCCUCGUCCACACAUCUGUUCCUUCACUGCAUGAGAGCCCCAUUCUUCCUGAAUCCAGCGCAUACUGAAGACCAGCAGAGACAUCCAGCCUUGUGGACUGAGCAACUGCUGCAUUCUCAGACUUUGUGUUCACAGCCCGUCAUUGUGGAGUUACCUGGACCAUAGCCUGUGUUGCGUCAUCCCAACUCUCUGCCCAUCCUCCUUGAGAAGACUCUGAAGGCCUCUGUUUCAGUUUGGACAGGGUUUCUGGGAACCAAGAUGGCCGCCUCCACGGCCCAGUGCCGAGUGACAAAAGUGGAGAGCAAGGCGGCGGCGGAGCCGCGCACGCGGGGGGUGCCCGGGAGCGCGCGACCACGGGGGCGCCCUUGCCAAGUUCUCCGAGUCCAGGCCCGGUGGUUCUC